rnacentral:tRNA from 1 species
AGGAUAAUAGCUCAGUGGUAGGGCGUGUGCCUAGCAUGCACAAGCUCCUGGGUUCAAUUCCCCAGAACCUC